rnacentral:lncRNA from 7 species
CUCCUCGCUCCCCCGCUCUCAUCCCUUCUGUCUCCUUUCCCGCCCCCCCACAGCUCUCCCCACGUUGGCCCCUCCAUCCGUCUCCCCCCUCUGACUCCCCUCUGUCUGCCCCCCGGGGUCCCCCGUCUUCCCUCUUCCUUCUCCCUCCCCCCUGCUGACCCCAUGUGCUGACCCCUGGAGUCCCCUGUACCCCCCAUGCCCUCCUCCCUGACCUCUGGAGUCCGCUCCCCCCAUUUUGACCCCCAGUAUCCCCCAACGGACCCCCUUUCUGUCUCAUAGAAGCCACCCAGCUCUCCACUCCCCACUCUUCCACCCCACAGCAGCCCCACUCACACCUUCCCCCCCCGGAUUCCACAGAACCCCCUCUUCACCCCCAGACUCCCUUUCCACCCCACAGAAGCCCCACUAACCCCUUUCUCCCCCCCCCCUUUAGCCCCCCUUUUCCCCACUUAGAAUCGUGCUGAGGGAUCUGGAGACGUCCUAGAGAGGUUUGGGGGCAUCCAGGGGGUUCUGGACUCAUGCAGAAGAGUCUGGAGAUGUCCAAGGAGGAUCCAGGGAGUCCCCAGGCCUGCCUGCAGCCGGACCCGGUGACACCGGAGCCCUGUGGCGCUGUCACCAUCCUCUGUCCCGAGGACGGGAGGUGAACUCUGUGCCACCA